AUUGAACGCUGGCGGCAGGCCUAACACAUGCAAGACGAGCGGAUGAAGGGAGCUUGCUCCUGGAUUCAGCGGCGGACGGGUGAGUAAUGCCUAGGAAUCUGCCUGGCAGUGGGGGAUAACGUCCGGAAAUGGGCGCUAAUACCGCAUACGCCCUGAGGGAGAAAGUGGGGGAUCUUCGGACCUCCCGCUAUCAGAUGAGCCUAGGUCGGAUUAGCUAGUUGGCGGGGUAAAGGCCUACCAAGGCGACGAUCCGUAACUGGUCUGAGAGGAUGAUCAGUCACACUGGAACUGAGACACGGUCCAGACUCCUACGGGAGGCAGCAGUGGGGAAUAUUGGACAAUGGGCGAAAGCCUGAUCCAGCCAUGCCGCGUGUGUGAAGAAGGUCUUCGGAUUGUAAAGCACUUUAAGUUGGGAGGAAGGGCAGUAAGUUAAUACCUUGCUGUUCUGACGUUACCAACAGAAUAAGCACCGGCUAACUUCGUG
rnacentral:rRNA from 1 species